AACGAACGCUGGCGGCAUGCCUAACACAUGCAAGUCGAACGAGACCUUCGGGUCUAGUGGCGCACGGGUGCGUAACGCGUGGGAACCUGCCCUUAGGUUCGGAAUAACUCCCCGAAAGGGGUGCUAAUACCGGGUAAUGUCUUCGGACCAAAGAUUUAUCGCCUUUGGAUGGGCCCGCGUUGGAUUAGCCAGUUGGUAGGGUAAAAGCCUACCAAGGCUACGAUCCAUAGCUGAUCUGAGAGGAUGAUCAGCCACACUGGGACUGAGACACGGCCCAGACUCCUACGGGAGGCAGCAGUGGGGAAUAAUAGACAAUGGGCGAAAGCCUGAUCCAGCAAUGCCGCGUGAGAGAUGAAGGCCUUAGGGUUGUAAAGCUCUUUUAACCGGGAUGAUAAUGACAGUACCGGGAGAAUAAGCUCCGGCUAACUCCGUG
rnacentral:rRNA from 1 species